UUCUUGAGACAGAUUGCUAAGAACUGCUUAAAUUACCACUUUUCUACGUGCAUGAGGAAUACUUCUCCAGCAAACCGAGCAGCAUGACGUAACAUUACUCUGACAGUCAUAUGAGGGUGUGGUUUGCCUGAGCUGUGUUGAUCUGAAUCUCAUUUUCAGUUUGCAAGAAGUUAUUGUGCUUGGGCCUAUGUUUUCUUCUGAACAGAUCACACUCCAGGAAAAGGAAAGGAAGAAAGACCUCUGUAAUCAUCUUAAAGGAAGACUUGUUGUAGGCUGUCCAAUUCUACCUCUAGUUCCUCAUUUCUGUUGACAAACCAGGUUGUUAAUCAAUGAAAGCAGGUGAGUUUUUUCAUAAUUUGCUCACAGCUCCCUUAAUAUUACCUUUAUUGAAACUGUAAGACUUUAGCUUAUAGAAGAUGGUUUCUUGUGCUGGGGUUUGUGUAGCGCCAGAAAGCAUUAAGUCACAAUUUGUAUUUGAGGUUUUUUACUGCUGGAAGUUCCUCGGUAUAGCAUCUGCAUGAUCAUCUUGGCAAGGUUUAUACUGAUGCUAAGGACACCGAGAUAGCUGCACAGCUAUUUUUUGCAUUUUUUUCUUCUUGACUUUUGAACUAUUCUCUGACAUAUGUAAUGAAGAGAAUAACUGUGUUUUUCUUGGGUGGCUUAUGAUCCAUGCUGUCCUGUGUUAAAAGCAUUUUUGAAAAGAGAUUGUAGUCUUAUUUGCAAAAGUUUUACAAACUUUUUACAUUCCCAGGGCCUAUGCCUUUAUUUCUGAUUAUACAACACGAGUUGCUGUAAUCUGCGUUGUCACCUUAAGAAGAUUUUAGAAAUGAUUUUGGAGUGAUUCGUACAGUGGUUGAUAUUAAAGCAUGUAUAACCCAUUUUAAAAAUGAAUAAUACUUAUUUAAUAUUGUUUUAGUAACAGUAAUACAAUUGUUAAUUUAUGUGGACAAUUCCUGCUAAUCAUUUAUUAUUAUACUUAGAAUUUCUGCUUCACUUGAAAGAGUGAAUAAUCUUUUCCGUUGCUCUGAUCUGCUGUACUGUUUCAGAGAAAAGCCUUUAUAAAAAUGUAUUUUACCUAUAGUUUUCAUCAAGCAGAUAACUUUUAAACAUCCUACAUCAUUUUAACGCUUGCACUCUCUAUACAACGGCAUUGUAAAGAACAUGAAAAUGAGUAAAAUAUCUUGAAACAUACUUAAUUUCUUUAUUUUUGUUCAUACUUGUGUGUGAAUUUUCUAAAUAUUGUUCUGUUAGCAAUACUGAUGAAAUUCAUGUUACAGAAUUCAUCUCUGCAGUAGAUAUGCUGUGACUAG
rnacentral:lncRNA from 1 species